GUCCUGCUUUGGUUGGGAUGCGUCAUCUGAGUCAGUGUCCCUUGAACCAGAACGUGAUAUUUUUCUUGAAUAUCCAUUUCCCUGAUGUGAUACACUUGUUCUUGAAAAUGGCUUUAAGUGAUGUGCCUUAGAUCGCUUCGUUUUGUGUGUCUUCUGCUUUCCUCCUCUGUGCAGAGUUCCCAGUGCUAACCUGAACUUGGAGUCAGGCGAAGUGCACGGCAACUUCAAGAGAAGCCCUGAGUUUUGACACAGAGGUGUGCUGUUUGCAUUGCCAUUAUUUCUAGCACAGGCUUUCUGAGAAUCAGCUUCUGCUAAAACCCAUCUGUCCGAGUCUGAACUGGUCUCUUCUACAUCCAUACAAUCAGUUUUCUGCUCCCAACUGUUUUCACAAGACAGCAGUGUUCUUGUUACAUCCAGAUACUUCUCACUUCUUCCCUGCUCAGGCUUGACACCUUUAUCUUUUUCAGCCAAGAUAUUCC
rnacentral:lncRNA from 1 species